AGCGAACGCUGGCGGCAGGCUUAACACAUGCAAGUCGAGCGGACCUUUCGGGGUCAGCGGCGGACGGGUGAGUAACGCGUGGGAACGUGCCUUCCGGUUCGGAAUAACCCUGGGAAACUAGGGCUAAUACCGGAUACGCCCUUAUGGGGAAAGGUUUACUGCCGGAAGAUCGGCCCGCGUCUGAUUAGCUAGUUGGUGGGGUAACGGCCUACCAAGGCGACGAUCAGUAGCUGGUCUGAGAGGAUGAUCAGCCACACUGGGACUGAGACACGGCCCAGACUCCUACGGGAGGCAGCAGUGGGGAAUAUUGGAAAAUGGGCGCAAGCCUGAUCCAGCCAUGCCGCGUGAGUGAUGAAGGCCUUAGGGUUGUAAAGCUCUUUUAUCCGGGACGAUAAUGACGGUACCGGAGGAAUAAGCCCCGGCUAACUUCGUG
rnacentral:rRNA from 1 species